rnacentral:rRNA from 1 species
AGUCGUACGCGAACGACCUUUCGGGGUUAAGUAGAGUGGCGAACGGGUUAGUAACGCGUGGGAACAUACACAGCACAGGGGGAUAACCAUUGGAAACGAUGGCUAAUACCGCAUACGCCCUAUUGGGGAAAGAUUUAUCGGUGUUGGAUUGGCCCGCGUUAGAUUAGCUAGUUGGUGGGGUAAUGGCUCACCAAGGCGACGAUUUAUAGCUGGUUUGAGAGGAUGAUCAGCAACACUGGAACUGAGACACGGUCCAGACUCCUACGGGAGGCAGCAGUCGGGAAUAUUGUGCAAUGGGGGCAACCCUGACACAGCCAUGCCGCGUGAGUGAAGAAGGCCUUAGGGUUGUAAAGCUCUUUCAGAUGUGAGGAUGAUGACGAUAGCAUCAGAAGAAGCUCCGGCUAACUUCGUGCCAGCAGCCGCGGUAAUACGAAGGGAGCUAGCGUNGUUCGGAAUUACUGGGCGUAAAGGGCGUG